UUGGGUCUUAUGAGUCAUGCAAAGCAGACACACGACGCUGCUGACAGAGUUUUUGAUUUCGUACUUUUAUUAAAAUCUUUUGUUUUGUGGAAAUAACACUUAUCUGCCUACACUUGUUCUCUUGCUUGUCGCCGAAUUUACCUUGUGACGCCUCCCGGUUUGUUUUCCGCCACUUUUAACUCCCGUGUUCCAGUCAGGAACAACACAGAUGUUUGCUGCCAUGGCCAUAGCAUCAACAGUGCCUCUGUUGGGGUUCUUGGAUCAUAAGCAUGAUGUGCAGAAGCCACCACAACACUAUGGACUAUGUGAUGGAAUUUUAAUAUCUGGAUGUUUCAAAGUUCGAGGACGAGUUUUACCGUCAGACUGGAAGGUGGGAGACCAAACGGAGACAUGUGGCCUCCCUCGUGAAGAGUUACAGAAAGAAACGUGUUGAGCUCCGGCGAAGCGCCCGGCCGGCCGGCGAGGAGCCAAGAAGACGGAGCAGCAGGAGGAGGAGAAGGUGGAGGAGCUGAUCUUCAGCGUGGAGGCUCACAGCAGCAAAGAGCUGCGACACUUCAAGUUCCUCUCCGUCUGCUUCACGGCUCAGCUGCUCGGCUCGGCCAGCUUCGUCGGUAAACCUGCACAGGCCACAAAUACAGACUAAUAAAAGCUACAUUCGUUCUGA